UGCAGCCAGGCUGAGCGAUGGCGAGGUGGUUAAUCAUGGUGGCUGAGGAAACAUGGGGUCACUUCUCCCCCUUCCGCCUCCCGUGUGACGAGGACGGUGGGCACCGGCCACGGGGUGGGGGACCCGGACCCCGCACGGACCCGCCGGCGGCGACUCAGGUUUUUUGUUCCUCAUUGGAGCAAUGGUCCCAUGUCACUAUAGGACAUGAGAAAGCACAACACGAGCCACUGCGAUGACAAGCGUGUGCCGUGCUGGAGUGCAGAGAUCUGGGUUGUGGCAGCUCCUUUCCUUGCCGUGUUGAUGGAGGGUUCAAGGGCCUGACAUGCAGCUGAUCCCUGGGCCCUCAGUCAUUAUUCAAAUCCUUUGAAUUCAAGUCUUCUGCACAGGAGAGCUGUAUCUCAUCUGCCAUGAGCUGAGUAGCUUCAGAAAUUAGCUGUGGGAUUACAGAUAAACAUACACCAUCCAGAAAGUUGCAUUCCACCAAGUGAACCUCGCCUCCAAUGACCCUGAUGUUGUACAGCAGCAUCCUUCAGAAGGAAACACUUCCAGAGCAGGAGGGUGAUGCAGAACAGCUGGGAGCUCUGUGACACUCUCCAGGGAAGAUCUCCAUCUCCAUCUCCAUCAUCUCCAUCUCCAUCUCCAUCUCCAUCAUCUCCAUCUCCAUCUCCAUCUCCAUCUCCAUCUCAUCUCCAUCUCCAUCUCCAUCUCCAUCAUCUCCAUCUCAUGCCUGAAGCCACAGAGUGGUGCUUGCCUGCUGCCAGUGGAGGGAGUGGGGACCCUGUCUGGUAUGUUCAAUAGUGCAGCCAGCUGCAACAUCCCAGUGACAUCCCUGGUCACUCCUUGCCAGUUUUCAAAGGUGGGCAUUUCAAUGUAGAACAGUUCCUCAACCAUUCCAAAAGAAUCUCAGGACAUGUUGGUACAGAUCUUUAGCUUCUUGCCCUUGUGUUUGUACAAAUAUCUCAUUGCAGGUCCCCCACUGCAACUGAAAUAGUAGAAGCUGAUCUUUCCCCUGUUAUCAGUGCAAGAUU